GACGAACGCUGGCGGCGUGCCUAAUACAUGCAAGUAGAACGCUGAAGCGAGGAGCUUGCUCUUCUUGGAUGAGUUGCGAACGGGUGAGUAACGCGUAGGUAACCUGCCUUGUAGCGGGGGAUAACUAUUGGAAACGAUAGCUAAUACCGCAUAACAAUGGAUGACACAUGUCAUUUAUUUGAAAGGGGCAAUUGCUCCACUACAAGAUGGACCUGCGUUGUAUUAGCUAGUAGGUGAGGUAAUGGCUCACCUAGGCGACGAUACAUAGCCGACCUGAGGGGAGGGGCGGCGAGAGUGGGAGGGAGACCGGCCCAAGACUGAGAGGGGGGGAGGCGGGGGGGAGUCGGGGGAGAGGGGGGGAGCCUGGAGCGGGAAGGGCGGAGGGGGGGAGGAGGGUGUCCGGGUGGAAAAGCCUGGUGGUAGGGGAGGAAGGGGGGGGGGGGUGAAAAGAACACGGUGUGACGGUAUUUAACAAGAAAGGGACGGCUAACUACGUG
rnacentral:rRNA from 1 species